UACGAAGGGGGCUAGCGUUGCUCGGAUUGACUGGGCGUAAAGGGCGCGUAGGCGGUUCGUACAGUCAGACGUGAAAUUCCUGGGCUCAACCUGGGGGCUGCGUUUGAUACGUGCAGACUUGAGUUCGGAAGAGGGUCGUGGAAUUCCCAGUGUAGAGGUGAAAUUCGUAGAUAUUGGGAAGAACACCGGUGGCGAAGGCGGCGACCUGGUCCGAUACUGACGCUGAGGCGCGAAAUCGUGGGGAGCAAACAGG
rnacentral:rRNA from 1 species